AGCGCGCGCAGGCGGUCCUUUAAGUCUGAUGUGAAAGCCCACGGCUCAACCGUGGAGGGUCAUUGGAAACUGGGGGACUUGAGUGCAGAAGAGGAGAGCGGAAUCCACGUGUAGCGGUGAAAUGCGUAGAGAUGUGGAGGAACACCAGUGGCGAAGGCGGCUCUCUGGUCUGUAACUGACGCUGAGGCGCGAAAGCGUGGGGAGCGAACAGGAUUAGAUACCCUGGUAGUCCACGCCGUAAACGAUGAGUGCUAAGUGUUAGAGGGUUUCCGCCCUUUAGUGCUGCAGCAAACGCAUUAAGCACUCCGCUUGGGGAGUACGGUCGCAAGACUGAAACUCAAAGGAAUUGACGGGGGCCCGCACAAGCGGUGGAGCAUGUGGUUUAAUUCGAAGCAACGCGAAGAACCUUACCAGGUCUUGACAUCCUUAUGCCAUCCCUAGAGAUAGGGCUUUCCCUUCGGGGACAUAAGUGACAGGUGGUGCAUGGUUGUCGUCAGCUCGUGUCGUGAGAUGUUGGGUUAAGUCCCGCAACGAGCGCAACCCUUGAUCUUAGUUGCCAGCAUUUAGUUGGGCACUCUAAGGUGACUGCCGGUGACAAACCGGAGGAAGGUGGGGAUGACGUCAAAUCAUCAUGCCCCUUAUGACCUGGGCUACACACGUGCUACAAUGGAUGGUACAAAGGGCAGCGAAACCGCGAGGUUAAGCGAAUCCCAUAAAACCACUCUCAGUUCGGAUUGCAGGCUGCAACUCGCCUGCAUGAAGCCGGAAUCGCUAG
rnacentral:rRNA from 1 species